AGGACACAGGGGCUGGCUGGACGAGGCGGGAGGACACCACUGGGGCUGCCAGCGGGGCAGGAGAGGCCCCGAGACCCCCGGCCCAGGCUGGGAUAACCCUCGCCGGCUCCGAGGAGCGCGGCGCAGCCCGGCUCCCCCUUCACGCUAUGCGACGGCGGCCGGGGCGCUGCGGCCGCCCUGGGCCGGCCUCCUCCUGCCGGCCGAGUCCCCUCCUCCCCGCUGCCUUCCCGGCGGCGGCGGUCGCGGGCGGCCGAGCCGCUCGGGGCCCGGCAGCGUUGCCCAUGGGGGAGUGCGGGGUGCCCCCCCAGGUCCAGCUCUUCCUCCGCGCCUGCGAGCAGGGCGACUGCGAGACCGCCCGACGCCUCUUGGGGCUGCCCGGCAGCAGCGGCGGCCCCCCCGACACGGCGGCUCCCUCCUCCUCCUCGUGCGGCCCCGAGGAGACGGCAGCGGAGCCCCGCGGCGAAGCGUCGUCCCCGCCGACCCCCGCCGUGCCCGUGGACUGCACGGACGAGGCCGGCAACACGGGGCUGCAGUUCGCCGCGGCGGGGGGCCACGAGCAGCUGGUGCGGUUCCUGCUGCGGAAGGGCGCCUCGGUGCAGAGCAGGAACCACUACGGAUGGAGCCCCCUCAUGCAAGCGGCCAGGUUUGGACAUCUAAGCGUGGCCCACAUCUUGCUGGAAAAUGGUGCUGAUCUCAAUGCACAGAACAAGUUAGGAGCCAGUGUUCUCACAAUGGCCUCCAGAGGUGGUCAUGUGAGCAUGGUGAAAUUGUUGCUGGAAUCUGGUGCUUUUGUGGACAAUUAUGACCACUUUAGCACAAAUGUACUUAACAGCAGCAGAGAUGACCUUCCUGAUAUCACUCCACUGAUGGCAGCUGCUCAGCAUGGACAUGAGGCCGUGGUACGUCUGUUGCUAGACUGGGGAGCUGAUUGUAACUACAGUCUAAAGACAAUGGGCUGGAGUCCUUUAAUGCUGGCAGCCAUUAGUGGAAAGGUGAGCUUGGCACAGCAGCUCAUGGAGAAGGGUGCCAAUCCUGAUCACUUGAAUGUACUACAUAAAACACCUUUUGAAAUCUCUGUUGGCUUCAAACACAAAGACAUGAAGGACUAUUUGGAAUCUCUCACAACGAUUAGGCCUCAGGCAGAUGCAGAAAAGAGGCAACCUGAUGUCUUCCAUGCUUUGAAACUGGGAAACUUUCAGCUGGUUAAAGAGAUUAUUGAUGAAGAUCUGAGUCAGGUUAAUAUUACCAAUGUUGACGGUGCCUCUCCUUUAAUGAUUGCGGCUGUAACUGGACAGCUGCCCCUUGUUCAGCUCCUUGUUGAGAAAAAGGCUGAUAUUGAUAAGCAGGAUAAUGUUCAUGGCUGGACAGCACUAAUGCAGGCCACGUACCAUGGAAACAAAAAUGUUGUAAAGUAUUUGUUAAAUCAAGGAGCUGAUGUUAACCUUCGUGCAAAAAAUGGAUACACAGCUUUUGACCUGAUAAUGCUGCUGAAUGAUCCAGAUACAGAGCUUGUAAGGCUACUGGCAUCAGCAUGCAUGCAAGUAGAUAAAGACAAGAAUAAACUGAACAACAGAUCAUCUCUGCCUUGUUCCAGAAGUAGGCAAUCCUUAAAUGUCCCAAUGUUGCCAGAUGACAAAGGAGGCCUAAAGUCCUGGUGGAGCAGAAUGUCCAAUCGGUUCCGCAAGCUGAAGUUGACUCAGACAUUGCGCCAUGGAUUUCCUUCUAAUCAGUUUGUGCCUUUUCCGGAUGAGACUGAACCAUCAUUAAGUUCCACUAUAAAAGUAGCCUCACAGGGUGAUACAGACAUCUCUGGAAACCUUGAUGCUGCUACAGCUUGGAACACAAAUAAUAAAGCUAGUGGUGCAAACACUGUCAAAGGAGGAAAGGACGAUGAAUUAUUGAAAACUAUGCUGAGGAGUACUGCUCCAUUUACCAGGCUGCCCAGUGAUAAGCUGAAAGCAGUGAUACCACCUUUCUUACCACCCUCAAGCUUUGAGCUUUGGAAUUCUGACCGAACCAGACUCAGCAAAGAUGGCAAAGCUGAACAGAUGAGAACUGCCUGGCCACAGAGAGCAGUCAAGCACGAUUUUAACAGCAGUGGGAACUCUGAUAUAACAUCUGUUAGCAAAGGUACUAGACCAGUCAAAUUACCAACAUUUGCAAGAAGACCAGCAUCUCCUUCAAAUUCCAAUAACUUCAACCAUUCUCCCCAUUCUUCUGGUGGAUCUAAUAACAUUGCAGGAAUUAACAGGCAUGGAGGAGAACUGCAUAACAGAUCAGGUGGCAGUGCAGAUAAUGUUUUAUCUCAGAUUGCAGCCCAAAGAAGAAAAGCAGCAGGCUUACCUGAACAGAAACCCAGCCAGCAGCAUAGUCCAGUCCAGUCAACUCCUUCAUCUACUGUGUCAGAUUUGCAGUGUGCUCAGAAUGUUGGCAAUGGACAUGUUGUAAAGCAAAAACUGGAGAUGAACAAAAGACCUCCAUCUGGGACUUCGUCUACGUCUAAAAGCACAUCACCAACUCUCACACCUUCUCCAUCACCUUCCCCAUCUCCUAAGGUUCAAAACGCAGAGUCUUCUGUCUCUUCUUCUCACAGACAUGCCAAGAGCAAUGGCUCCAGCAGUGGUACUAUUACAGAGGAUGGCAACCAUUUGAUGGACCAUCAACAACUUGGCCCUAUUCUGAGAGCCGGUGAUGUGGAGAAUUAUGAAAGACGAAACCAUGUGAAAGUAAAAGAAGGCUCUGAAAACUUGGAAAAAGAUGAGCUAACUGGCAUCCUUAAAAAAUUGUCACUUGAGAAAUAUCAGCCUAUAUUUGAGGAACAGGAGGUGGAUAUGGAAGCUUUUCUCACACUUACUGAUGGUGAUCUGAAAGAGUUGGGUAUUAAAACGGAUGGAUCAAGGCAGCAAAUUUUGGCAGCUAUUUCUGAAUUGAAUGCAGGAAAGGGUCGGGAGAGACAGAUUUUACAAGAAACUAUACACAACUUCCACUCUUCCUUUGAGAGUAGUGUUAGUAACACGCGGCCGCCAGGUCAUUCCCAAUGUAUUACUAGGUGAGCAGAAGCUGUUUGGGAUUUGAUUACAUGGUGCAAAGAACUGGAAUAGAGGUGUAAUGUAUCUCCAAGCAACUUGCUGACCUUAAGUGUCUUGAAGACAUCAAAGGACAAGAAUGGUGGCUCAGAGCUGGAGAGAACAUCCUUUUGUAAGAAUGGAGGCAACAGUUGCUCCUGUUGAGCUUUUGACAAGAGGCUGCAAGAAGGCUGCCAUCAGAGAUCUGGCUUUUGGGUUUUUGUGCAUGAGAGCUCCAUGAUAUAGAUUUGGCUGUGAAACAGAAACAGAAGCACUAAUAGAGAAGAGGAAGAGAACAUGUAGCUAAAAGAAGUUUCUGCACCAGCUCCUGGCUGCUCUUCAAAACCACAAGAAGCCGUUUCUUCUAAAAGGUAGCUACUGGAACAAAAGUGUUUUUUAUUUUUUAUGAUGAAGUUUGGCAUCUGACUAAGCAAAUCCAUACAAAUGAAAAUUUGAAAAGUUAGUCCUGACUACACUGACAUAGGAUUUUCUGCAGUAGCGUGCUUAAAAUACAAAACCUACAGAAAGGCAAAGAAGGUAAAGAGAUUGCCUCUGUAGUUGAACCUAAGUGUUGGAUUGUUCAAGGCAUCAGUGGUCUGAAUUCAAGAAGAGCAAAGUCAGAAGAGCAGGAAGAAUGGGUGAACAUGCAGGAAGAUGGAGGUUUCAUUCCACUCUUGCCCAUAGAUGAAGAACCCACAGGAGACCAACAUGGGCACAGUCAAGAGCAACAAAAGCAUGGAAGAAAGCAAGAAGGACAGCACAAAUUGUGACCCUUUCUACAUGGGGAAGUACAUAAGCUGGAUAUGCCUCUCUUGAUUGGAUACAGAUAAAGUAGUCUAGGUUGAAAAUGUAAUGAUUUCAUGGGAAGAAAUAUAAAGGAGAAGUAAUGCUGCAUUCUUCAAUAACCAAAAUAUACUUUAUCUAUUCAAUAUUACGAUGUUAGAACAAUAGUAAAAGUAAAAACAAAACACCUAUUUGUAAAAACAGCACUUUAUUUGAGCGAAUGCAUAAUCUGUCACCAAUAUUUAAACAGAAAGAAUGUUAAAAUAUUUUAUAUUGCUGACUUUUUUUGAGAAUAAAACCAUUUACAUGAUACUGGCUGGGGUUUUUUUGAAUAGUAAACACUAGCAUAUCCUUAAAAAUACAUUUUUAUAACUUGAUUUUGUAGCAAUUUUGAAAUGAAGGUUACAGUAAUUACAUUUUCUGCUUAGUAAAUAUCAUUUUUGUUAAGCAGUUAAAAUGCAAACCAUCAGGAAUUAAAAUACAAUUAAUCAGAAGCCUCUGACACUAUAUUUAUCUUUCUGAAGACUCAAGUACUGCAGGUAAGGGCAAGAAGAUCUUGGAGCUCCAAUUACCUGAGUGCUCUCAGUAUAUAACUAAAGAUUUUACCUUUCUCCGUGCUCCUCACUGUACUGACAGCUCAUGGCUGCUUUUUCUGCCUUUGAGAGGAGGAGAGUUUGAGACGGAGUCCUGUACUGUGUGUCUGCGUGUCAGGGCUGGCACAGGCAGCUCUCUAAACUCCGCUGUAGGCAGUGGAGGUCUGGUGGGUACCAUCACCAGGGCCUCACAACCCAGUAUCUCAACUGAGCUAGACCAGAAGUUUGAUUCAGUUGUUCAGACCUCCACUGGCAUUUGCCAGGUAAGGCAUCCAAAGCACCCAGAAGGGAUGCCAGACACGACACUACAUGAGGGUUACGAUCAGGUUAUUCAUUGCAGCCUCUUGGACAAAGACCAUUCAGAGAUGGGGACUGUAAUUUCACUGACUUGGCCUGAUUUGUCACAGACUUUCAAAGGUGAAAGCUUUUUUUUUUUUGGUUCCUGUUUACUGUUUGUUGUCUGUUCCUUUUCAGUUUAAAUAUCUUUCUUGGCAAACUUUUCUUGCCUCAUAAUGAAAAGUGAUACCUUCUGGGCUUUUCCAAAGAAGGAAAUCCUACAAAAACCAGUUCUUGUUAUGAUUCAGUCUGGUGUUAUAGGCUUGACUAAUCUGGAGUUAUUAACCUAAGAUUUUGCUGAGGAGUACUGUUACUUUACAAGAAGCUUUUAUAAGUUUCUUUGAAUUAAAUUUUCUUUUUCUGUACUUUGAGCAUUAAUGAAUAUCUGAUUUUAAAUAAAGAUACUUUGUUAUCUGG